rnacentral:rRNA from 1 species
CCUACGGGUGGCAGCAGUGAGGAAUAUUGGUCAAUGGACGAGAGUCUGAACCAGCCAAGUAGCGUGAAGGAUGACUGCCCUAUGGGUUGUAAACUUCUUUUAUAUGGGAAUAAAACGUUCCACGUGUGGGAUUUUGUAUGUACCAUAUGAAUAAGGAUCGGCUAACUCCGUGCCAGCAGCCGCGGUAAUACGGAGGAUCCGAGCGUUAGCCGGAUUUAUUGGGUUUAAAGGGAGCGUAGGUGGAUUGUUAAGUCAGUUGUGAAAGUUUGCGGCUCAACCGUAAAAUUGCAGUUGAUACUGGCAGUCUUGAGUACAGUAGAGGUGAGCGGAAUUCGUGGUGUAGCGGUGAAAUGCUUAGAUAUCACGAAGAACACCGAUUGCGAAGGCAGUUCACUGGACUGCAACUGACACUGAGGCUCGAAAGUGUGGGUAUCAAACAGGAUUAGAUACCCUGGUAGUC